rnacentral:rRNA from 1 species
GAUGAACGCUGGCGGCGUGCCUAAUACAUGCAAGUCGAGCGAACGGACGAGAAGCUUGCUUUUCUGAUGUUAGCGGCGGACGGGUGAGUAACACGUGGAUAACCUACCUAUAAGACUGGGAUAACUUCGGGAAACCGGAGCUAAUACCGGAUAAUAUUUUGAACCGCAUGGUUCAAAAGUGAAAGACGGUCUUGCUGUCACUUAUAGAUGGAUCCGCGCUGCAUUAGCUAGUUGGUAAGGUAACGGCUUACCAAGGCAACGAUGCAUAGCCGACCUGAGAGGGUGAUCGGCCACACUGGAACUGAGACACGGUCCAGACUCCUACGGGAGGCAGCAGUAGGGGAUCUUCCGCAAUGGGCGAAAGCCUGACGGAGCAACGCCGCGUGAGUGAUGAAGGUCUUCGGAUCGUAAAACUCUGUUAUUAGGGAAGAACAUAUGUGUAAGUAACUGUGCACAUCUUGACGGUACCUAAUCAGAAAGCCACGGCUAACUACGUG